UUCAUAUAGUUCUGUGAACAUUCUUGUACAUUUCUUUUGGUGUCUGCCAUCUUGAAUGAAAAAUUUUAAAAUAAUUUCUAAUCUAAUCAAGAAUGUGACUUGAAGAACUUUUAUGUCUAGCUGGAUGAUUCUAAAUGCACCGAUCAGCACUCUGGGUCUAGCUCAGGGUUUAAGGAUGCACCAACCAGCACUCUGUAUCUAGCUAAUCUGGUGGGGACUUGGAGAACCUUUAUGUCUAGCUAAA
rnacentral:lncRNA from 1 species